AGUCAAAUCAACUAAAAUAUAAUAAUUUUUAUUUUUGGCAAUUUCCGCUCAUAAAAGAAAAAUGUCAAAUCACGGGGAGAUGACCGGAGACUUGGCCAACGUGAGCAACCUGCAAAUGUCAAAAUUAAAUCACGUCUGUCGGAUGCGUCAACUGAGCGCAUGCAUCUGAUUAAAAGCCCUUGGCAAAUGAAUUGUUCACUUAUCAGGUCAAUUGCAGGCACAAUGGUGUGAUAGUGACAGUAAAAUAAACACACAUCCGUGGUACAAAAAACACGUCGCGAUGAUGGCGUUAUCAAUAUUGCCAACUUGUUUGAUUAAAAUGCUGCUGCUGAUAACGCAGCUGGAAAAUCGCCGCGCGAAGUUGCAUAAAAAGUAUGGCCGAAAAUGACAGGAGAGCGAGAAUGAAACAGACAGAGAGCCAGAGGGAGCAAGAAAGGCGAUAAAGACAGAGAGAGGACAGCUGUCAGACAGAUGAGUCACGCCAAAAAACAUUGUAAGCUUCAGACUCUCCCUUAGCCACAGCGACAAAAAAGAAAUGAAAUAAAAUAAAAUAAAAACCAGCAGAAUAUUGGUAACGUGGCAGAGGUGCUUUUUUACGAAUUUUGCGAACGCAUGCAAAUUUAAUUUUUUGUUGUUCGUUUCUUUGAAUAUAAAUGGGCAACAUCCGCUGUUUGAUAAUAACGUAAAUAACUUAUAAUAUAUUAGAUAAAUUUAUAUAGACUUUGUCUUUGUUGGCACUCGUUACGUCAUCUGUGAAGUCAUGUAAACAACAACAAAUAAGCAAUUGCUGGAUGAAAGCGAAAUGAAUAAUGCUCCUCGCAUUGAAGAUAAAGCAAAAGUUUUUGAGACAACCGUGAUGAUAAUAAAGCUAAAGUAGAAAGUUAAUAAUUUAAAGCAAUUGCAAAGCAGUUGGCAACGCGGUUCAAGUAACUGUAACAAAUACAAGUACAACGUUAACGAGUAUGGGAGAGAACGAGAAAGAGAGCAGCGCGAGAGCGACGCGUCGCAUCUGAGGACAAAUGAGCGUAAAAUCGAUUUGUCACAAUCAGCGGCUUGUACACGUUUUGCACCUCAGUUGGCAACAAAUUGCGAAUCAUUUAUUAAACAAUCAAAUACUUACAA